rnacentral:tRNA from 1 species
GGUGGCUCAGUGGUAGAGCACUUGCCUUGCAUGCAUGAGGCAUGAGGCCCUGGGUUCGAUUCCUCAGCACCA